GACGAGCUCUCCAAACGUUAUUCGGUAUUACUGGGCUUAAAGAGUUCGUAGGCGGUUUUACAGGUGAGGUGUGAAAGCCCUCGGCUUAACCGAGGAAUUGCGCUUCAAACCGUAAGGCUAGAGGGAGGUAGGGGUAUGCGGAACAGAUGGUGGAGCGGUGAAAUGCGUUGAUAUCAUCUGGAACACCGGUGGCGAAAGCGGCAUACUGGACCUUUUCUGACGCUGAGGAACGAAAGCUAGGGUAGCGAACGGG
rnacentral:rRNA from 1 species